GAUGAACGCUAGCUACAGGCUUAACACAUGCAAGUCGCAGGGUAACAUGAGGAAAGCUUGCUUUCCUUGAUGACGACUGGCGCACGGGUGAGUAACGCGUAUCCAACCUUCCCAUAACUACGGGAUAACCCGUUGAAAGACGGCCUAAUACCGUAUGAUAUCGUUUGCUGACAUCAAAUAACGAUUAAAGGUUUAGCGGUUAUGGAUGGGGAUGCGUCUGAUUAGCUUGUUGGCGGGGUAACGGCCCACCAAGGCGACGAUCAGUAGGGGUUCUGAGAGGAAGGUCCCCCACAUUGGAACUGAGACACGGUCCAAACUCCUACGGGAGGCAGCAGUGAGGAAUAUUGGUCAAUGGGCGAGAGCCUGAACCAGCCAAGUAGCGUGCAGGACGACGGCCCUAUGGGUUGUAAACUGCUUUUAUGUGGGGAUAAAGUGCGUGACGUGUCAUGCAUUGCAGGUACCACAUGAAUAAGGACCGGCUAAUUCCGU
rnacentral:rRNA from 1 species